UAUAUCAUACGACGCCGUUUCAAUCUGCCUUGUUGUCUCCCUCCUUUUCUUCAACCGUCGAGCAAAAAAGAAACACAGCGAAGACUGAUAAUCGUCUGUCGGCAAAUUCUUCAUCGGAAAGGGGUUUCAGUGCCGAUGCUGACACCGACGCAGAGGUACGCGGCGGGGGCACUGUUUUCCCUUGCCCUACACCAGGCUCAGGAGCACCAGACUUCCCCUUUGGGUUUUCCCUCCCACCAAGACGAAGACGGCGGCGGCGAGUCGUCGGAGGAACGCGUCAGUAGCAGCAGUAGCUCCGACGCCGUCUCCGAUGAUACCCAGCUCUGGGUCCACCAAUCGUCGGGUCUUCUACGGCCCGUCUUCAAGUUUCUAGAAAUUGAUAGUAGAGCGUGGGGUGGGCUGGAGGAAACGGCGGCGUAUUCACCCUCUAAGCAUCAUGUUGGAGCUUUUUUAAGGUUACUUGCCGAAGAAACCAGUGACGUGUCUGAAGGAGCUGCUGAGAUGGAACUGGCUUUAAUGAAUAGUAUAGAGGCUAUGUCUUUGAGCAUGGAAAAUACUCCUGCUGAUUACGAGUCCAAAAAGGAAAAACAACGUGAGUAUGAGCAAGCUUGUCGGGAGAAGUUUUCGACCCCUGAUAAAAUGCCCGAGUCAGAAUUGAAACAUAACAGUAUGCAUAAUAAUAAUCGUCAGGAAAUAAAUGUUAUUACAUCUAUUGUUGAGGAAUCCCACGCACAGUCCAUCUCUGAAUCUGACGGAAAACCAUUGGAUGAGGUAAAAAUGCUUAGUUACCAAAGGAAAUUGGCAGUUUUAUACGAGCUUCUCUCAGCUUGUUUAGCUAAUAUGAGUGAAGAUGACAAGAAAUCCACCAGGCAAAGAAAAGGGUACGAUGCUAGAUAUCGUGUGGCAUUGAGGCUGCUUUCUACCUGGUUUGAUGUCAAGUGGAUAAAAAUGGAAUCCAUUGAAACCAUAGUUGCUUCAUCUGCAAUGGCUAUUCUAAAAGAGGAGGAAUCCAAAGAAGUAGCCCAAUCUAAAAAAAGCUCAUGGGCCAAGUGGAAACGUGGAGGCAUCAUAGGUGCUGCUGCAUUAACUGGAGGAACUUUAAUGGCAGUUACUGGAGGUUUAGCUGCUCCAGCAAUUGCUGCUGGAUUUAGUGCUUUAGCGCCGACAUUAGGGACUAUUAUACCUGUUAUUGGAGCAGGUGGCUUUGCUGCUGUUGCUACUGCUGCUGGGAGUGUUGCGGGUUCUGUUGCAGUUGCAGCUUCUUUUGGUGCUGCGGGAGCUGGACUUACGGGGAGUAAAAUGGCUAGGCGAAUUGGAGACGUUGACGAAUUCGAGUUUAAAGCUAUAGGCGAAAACCAUAACCAGGGACGAUUAGGGGUUGAGAUUUCAGUAUCAGGAUUUGUUUUUGAGGAAGAAGACUUUAUAAGACCUUGGGAAGGACAACAGAAUAACUCGGAAAGGUAUGUACUGCAGUGGGAAUCCAAGCAUCUUAUUGCUGUAAGCACUGCUAUUCAAGACUGGCUUACUUCAAGAUUGGCCAUGGAAAUGAUGAAACAAGGUGCAAUGAUGACUGUAUUAAGCUCUCUUUUGAUGGCACUCGCUUGGCCAGCUACAUUACUUGUUCUUACUGAUUUUAUCGACAGCAAAUGGACUAUCGCCUUAAACAGGUCUGAUAAGGCUGGAAAACUGCUCGCCGAAGUAUUACAGAAGGGGCUGCAAGGGCAGAGGCCCGUGACACUUGUAGGUUUCUCACUUGGAGCAAGAGUGGUUUUUAGGUGCCUACAGAUUUUGGCCGAAAGUGAAACUAAUGUUGGAUUGGUGGAAAGAGUUGUUCUUCUUGGAGCUCCGAUAUCAAUUAAAGACAUGAAUUGGGAAGCCACUCGAAAGGUAGUGGCUGGGAGAUAUGUGAAUGCGUAUUCUACAAAUGAUUGGAUGCUCGGAAUUGCAUUUCGUGCCAAUCUUCUCACUCAAGGAUUGGCUGGAAUUCAACCAGUUAAUGUACCUGGCAUCGAAAAUGUGGAUGUAACAGAAGUUAUUGAGGGUCACUCGUCUUAUUUAUGGAAAACCCAACAAAUACUCGAACAACUUGAACUCGAUACUUAUUAUCCUGUUUUCAACCAAAGUGUUCUUAAAUCAUAGUACAUGGUAUACACUUUAUUAUCUCACUGAAUUGUCUUCAAAUUCAGAUAUAUAUAUAUAUAUAUAUGUUGUGCUCAUUUAAGUUAUAUGUGGAGAAGUAGCGUUAGUCGGAACUGUUGUAAACGAGUAUCGGUCGAAAUGUAUGAUUAUAUAAGAUUGUAAAUGUAUUAUUAUGUAAAUGUAUAUCUAUUCUUAUUAUAAGAUUUUAUGAUUGUGGCUAA